rnacentral:rRNA from 1 species
GCGAACGCUGGCGGCGUGCCUCACACAUGCAAGUCGAACGUGAAAAGGGAAACCUGAGUAAAGUGGCGUACGGGUGAGUAACGCGUAGGUAAUCUACCCCAGAAUCUGGAAUAACCUGCCGAAAGGCGGGCUAAUACUGGAUAGAGCGAGGGAACUCGUAAGAGAGUUUUUCGGGAAAGGGAGCCCGCAAGGGCCUUCGUUCUGGGAUGAGCCUGCGUCUCAUUAGCUAGUUGGUAAGGUAACGGCUUACCAAGGCGAUGAUGAGUAGCUGGUCUGAGAGGAUGAUCAGCCACACUGGAACUGAAACACGGUCCAGACUCCUACGGGAGGCAGCAGUGGGGAAUCAUGCGCAAUGGACGAAAGUCUGACGCAGCCACGCCGCGUGAGUGAAGAAGGCCUUCGGGUUGUAAAGCUCUGUCGGAUGGGACGAACAUCUUCAUAGUGAAUAGCUAUGAGGACUGACGGUACCAUCAAAGGAAGCACCGGCUAACUCCGUG